UCUUGGCUUGAGGCCACACGGAUGGCUUCUCCCUUCUUCUUUUCCAACAUGUCUGUUUGAGCCGAAGGCUGUUGAUUCAAGAAUGCUGUUUACUUUUUCAGGUACAGGUGGUAUUAGCGAUAUCCAAGGCCAAUUUUGAUUUUAAAACAUGAUACGCAAAUACUGCACAACCCAGGAAGGGCAUGUGCCAACCCACACACAAAGGACGUUCUGACAGUGUCCUCCUUUUUGAAAGCAAGGUGAUUGAAUGCCCCCAAGUACCUGGGAAAAGCAAGGCCGGUAGGCGUUCUAUGCCUCCCUGUGCAAACAAUCCCUGGGGCCCACUGGAGGCGGCGCCCGGAGCCUGCGAGCACAAGUGAAGACCCAGGUCCCCGGCGGCUCUGAAGGCUCUGCCCACCUGGCCGGUGUGUGGCAACAAAGAACAAAGAUGAAGGCAGGCAUUUCUGGAACGGACCGUGGGAGGUUGACACACACAAACACACGGGCGGACGUGUCAUGUCUGGUCUCCCCGAACGGAGUGAAGAGCUGUCACAGAAGCAGCUUCGUGAGGAGUCCCAUCCACAAAGGUCAAUGUCAUCAGUCUCUGUUCUCCAGGGCGGACGCCCCCUGCCUCUUCCAAAUAAAGUGCGGAUGGUCGAAGGGUACUGGUCUAUCAUCUGCUGGUUUCAGUCAGCGAUGAAGAAGAAGAAUAGAAAAAGACGCCCCUCUGGUAUACAUAUAUCUCUCUCUAUAUAUAUACUCUUUUUUUUCUUUUGUAAUAAAGCCACAAAUAUAA